UUGGCUCAGAACGAACGCUGGCGGCAGGCUUAACACAUGCAAGUCGAGCGCAUCCUUCGGGGUGAGCGGCAGACGGGUGAGUAACGCGUGGGAAUCUACCUUUUGCUACGGAAUAGCUCCGGGAAACUGGAAUUAAUACCGUAUGUGCCCUUAGGGGGAAAGAUUUAUCGGCAAGAGAUGAGCCCGCGUUGGAUUAGCUAGUUGGUGGGGUAAAGGCCUACCAAGGCGACGAUCCAUAGCUGGUCUGAGAGGAUGAUCA
rnacentral:rRNA from 1 species